GCACUUCUUGCUGCCAACAUGUGAAGAAAGACGUGUUUGCUUCCCCUUCCACCAUGAUUGUAAAAUCAACAAGGAAGGUGAUGAGCACAGCAGUGUGAAGGUAUAUAGAUCAACGGAGCAGAACAGAGGCCUCAGAAACAACAGCACACAUCUACAACCAUCUGAUCUUUGACAAACCUGACAAAAACAAGAAAUGGGGAAAUGAUUCCCUAUUUAAUAAAUGGUGCUGGGAAAACUGGCUAGCCGUAUGUAGAAAGCUGAAACUGGAUCCCUUCCUUACACCUUAUAUAAAAAUUAAUUCAAGAUGGAUUAAAGACUUAAAUGUCAGACCUAAAACCAUAAAAGCCCUAGAAGAAAACCUAGGCAAUACCAUUCAGGACAUAGGCAUGGGCAAGGACUUCAUGAUUAAAACACCAAAAGCAAUGGCAACAAAAGCCAAAAUAGACAAAUGGGAUCUAAUUAAACUAAAGAGCUUUUUGCACAGCAAAAGAAACUACCAUCAGAGUGAACAGGCAACCUACAGAAUGGGAGAAAAUUUUUGCCAUCUACCUAUCUGACAAAGGGCUAAUAUCCAGAAUCUACAAAUAACUCAAACAAAUUUACAAGAAAAGAAAACAAACAACCCCAUGAAAAAGUGGGCAAAGGACAUGAACAGACACUUCUCAAAAGAAGACAUCUAUGCAGCCAACAGACACAUGAAAAAAUGCUCAUUAUCACUGGUCAUCAGAGAAAUUCAAAUCAAAACCACAAUGAGAUACCAUCUCAUGCCAGUUAGAAUGGCAAU
rnacentral:lncRNA from 1 species